rnacentral:lncRNA from 1 species
CCCAUGCUCUGGUAUAGGGUUCGGAACCCUAGUAGCUGUAGAUAUAAUCCACAGCAUGUGCAAAUUUUUAAAUAUGCGUGCAGAUUUUAUGUUCAAAUUUUAUUCAUGCAAUAUGUAUCAUGUUAUACAUUCUAGAAUAGGUGAUUUAGAUUUGAUCUAAAGCAUAUAUUUAGAUUAAAUUGUUUAAGCUUCUAUGAUCC